rnacentral:rRNA from 1 species
UACGAAGGGGGCUAGCGUUGCUCGGAAUCACUGGGCGUAAAGCGCCCGUAGGCGGAUCUUUAAGUCAGGGGUGAAAUCCUGGAGCUCAACUCCAGAACUGCCUUUGAUACUGGGGAUCUCGAGUCCGGAAGAGGUGAGUGGAACUGCGAGUGUAGAGGUGAAAUUCGUAGAUAUUCGCAAGAACACCAGUGGCGAAGGCGGCUCACUGGCCCGAUACUGACGCUGAGACGCGAAAGCGUGGGGAGCAAACAGG